ACAAACCUUCCCAUCAACCAAAGUUACCUCGGAUCCAGUAAAACAGCAACCAAUAACGAAUAUUGAUGGAUUUGGCAACUACAAUCUUGAAGUGUGGGGUGCACCCGGCUCAUACUUUAGUAACAGCAGCAUUCUUAACCUAUAUUUUCUAGAUAGUGGAGAUAGAGCUGUUGUCGAUGGAGUUCGGACUUAUAACUGGAUCAGGGAAUCUCAACUAAGUUGGCUUCGUGAUACUUCUAAAAGAUAUCAGGUAUUGUAGUGGCAGACAUUAGAAGGAAGCAUGUAUGAAUUCUCUCUCUCUCUCGUGCACAUACACAAACACAUGUACCUGUGUCCAGCAUAGGGGUGUGCAUUCGAUUUAUCGAUUCGAUUUUGGCCCUUAUCGAUUAUCGAUUUAAACAUAUGCUUAUCGUUAUCGUUUUAGUAAGGUUUCGAUUUCGAUUUAUCGAUUUUUGGGGCUUAUCGAUUUGGUUAUCAAUUACACCAAUAAGAAAUUUUUCGGGACUCCACGAAAAGUAUAUUGCUACAAACACGCCUUACUACAACAACAACAACAACUACCCAGUAUAGUCCCACAAAGUGGGGUCUGGGGAGGGUAAUAUGUAGACGACCCUUGCCCCUACCCGAAAGGGCAGAGAGGUUGUUUCCAAUCGACCCUCGUCUCAAUGAAGGAAAACAAACACGCCUAAUUAAUAUGGACAAAAAGAAGCUAAAAUAAGAAGAGCACUGUUUAUAACAUAAAUAUUGUGUCAACAAGCACAUGAAACGAAACUAAAGUAAGCGAUCAAAUGUAUGCCACCAACACUCCAAGGAUAUAAAAAAAUAAAAUACAUCACAUCACGGCUAAUUCUGUUUUCCAUUAAUUUGAACUUCAUUCCCUUGAGCUUUAAAUAUGAUCNNNNNNNNNNNNNNNNNNNNNNNNNNNNNNNNNNNNNNNNNNNNNNNNNNNNNNNNNNNNNNNNNNNNNNNNNNNNNNNNNNNNNNNNNNNNNNNNNNNNNNNNNNNNNNNNNNNNNNNNNNNNCAGGGACUUAGGGUAAAGGAAAAGGUAUUAUAAAAUAAGGGUAAAAAAAAAUUUUAAAAAAAUUAGUGUAUCUUAUCGGUUUAUCGAUAAACCGAUAAGCCGAGAAGGACAUAAUCGAAAUCGAUAACUCGAUAAGGAAAAUUUCAAACUCGAAAUCGAUAAAUCGAUAAACCGAUAUCCAUAAACCGAUAACAAAUAAUUGAUUCGAUUUAUCGAUAAACCGAUUUGAAUGCACACCCCUGGUCCAGCAUUAGCCAUGUGCAUGACUUAGUGAUUCGCUGCUCAGCAUUCUAUCCCAAUUUUGCCAUUUUUUAGAACUUUAUGUUCUGUGUUUUCAUUAAUUGUUUCUGCUCCGACGAGGUAGGUUUAGCCUAUUCAGUAUUUAUUAUUAACAUUUUGCAGGUCAAUACAAUUACAGGGACAACGGAAGUAUGCUGAUAAAUCAGUCGAGAGUUCUCUGCCAAUGAUGCAUCCUGCACUAGCAUUUUUCCAUAUCCCGAUUCCAGAAAUUCGUCAAGGUCCCAUAAAAGAUAUUGUUGGCACGUACCGGGAGUAUGUGGCAUGUUCAUCAGUAAACUCCGGAGUUUUGAAGACCUUUGUUUCAAUGGGGGAUGUUAAAGCUGUUUUUAUAGGUCAUGAUCAUACUAAUGAUUUCUGUGGGGAUCUAGAAGGUAUAUGGUUUUGUUAUGGUGGAGGCUAUGGAUAUCAUGGUUAUGGUGUAGCUGGAUGGCCUAGAAGAGCAAGGGUUAUACAUGCAGAACUUGGAAAGGGAAAAGUGGUGUGGAUGGGCGUGGAGAAGAUCAGAACAUGGAAACGACUUGAUGAUGGUGUACUGACCAAGUUUGAUGAGCAAGUCUUGUGGGACAGACAAUCAUUAAGAUGAAAGUAUCAGCCUAUCAGGUAUAGACUGUUCUUUCUGUUGGUUUUCCUAAUUGCUUUCUCAGCCCUUUUGCUAACAUCUUCUCCCUCCGUCCUAAUUGAUGUGGCGGUGUUUGACUCGACAAGGAGUUUAAGAAAGAAAGCAAUACAUUUGAAACUUGUGGUCUAGAACAAACCAUAGAUAUUUGUGUGGUCGUAAAUCAAUUCAUUGAGGGUUAAAUAGGAAUUCUAAAGGUAAACUGUUUUUAAAUAAGAAAAGUCGACAUUCUUUUUGGGACUGACGAAAAAGGAAAGAGUGCCACAUAAAUUUGGGAUUGAUGGAUUUGGCAACUACAAUCUUGAAGUGUGGGGUGCACCCGGCUCAUACUUUAGUAACAGCAGCAUUCUUAACCUAUAUUUUCUAGAUAGUGGAGAUAGAGCUGUUGUCGAUGGAGUUCGGACUUAUAACUGGAUCAGGGAAUCUCAACUAAGUUGGCUUCGUGAUACUUCUAAAAGAUAUCAGGUAUUGUAGUGGCAGACAUUAGAAGGAAGCAUGUAUGAAUUCUCUCUCUCUCUCGUGCACAUACACAAACACAUGUACCUGUGUCCAGC
rnacentral:lncRNA from 1 species